GACGAACGCUGGCGGCGUGCCUAAUACAUGCAAGUCGAGCGCAGGAAACUGACGGAACUCUUCGGAGGGAAGGCAGCGGAAUGAGCGGCGGACGGGUGAGUAACACGUAAGGAACCUGCCUCAAGGAUUGGGAUAACUCCGAGAAAUCGGAGCUAAUACCGGAUAGUUCAACGGACCGCAUGGUCCGCUGAUGAAAGGCGCUCCGGCGUCACCUUGAGAUGGCCUUGCGGUGCAUUAGCUAGUUGGUGGGGUAACGGCCCACCAAGGCGACGAUGCAUAGCCGACCUGAGAGGGUGAUCCGCCACACUGGGACUGAGACACGGCCCAGACUCCUACGGUAGGCAGCAGUAGGGAAUCUUCCACAAUGGACGAAAGUCUGAUGGGGCAACGCCGCGUGAGUGAUGAAGGUUUUCGGAUCGUAAAACUCUGUUGUAAGGGAAGAACACGUACGAGAGGGAAUGCUCGUACCUUGACGGUACCUUACGAGAAAGCCACGGCUAACUACGUGCCAGCCGCCGCCGUAAUAC
rnacentral:rRNA from 1 species